UACGUAGGGUGCAAGCGUUGUCCGGAAUUAUUGGGCGUAAAGAGCUCGUAGGCGGUCUGUUGCGUCGGCUGUGAAAACCCGAGGCUCAACCUCGGGCCUGCAGCCGAUACGGGCAGGCUAGAGUUCGGUAGGGGAGACUGGAAUUCCUGGUGUAGCGGUGAAAUGCGCAGAUAUCAGGAGGAACACCGAUGGCGAAGGCAGGUCUCUGGGCCGAUACUGACGCUGAGGAGCGAAAGCGUGGGGAGCGAACAGG
rnacentral:rRNA from 1 species